rnacentral:rRNA from 1 species
CCCUUAGAUGUUCUGGGCCACACGCGCGUUACACUGAUGAAGCCAGCGAGUAUAUCGCCUUCACCGGAAGGUGCGGGUAAUCUUGUGAAACUUCAUCGUGCUGGGGAUAGACCAUUGCAAUUAUUGGUCUUGAACGAGGAAUUCCUAGUAAGCAUGAGUCAUCAACUCGUGCUAAUUACGUCCCUGCCCUUUGUACACACCGCCCGUCGCUACUACCGAUUGAAUGGUUUAGUGAGAUCUCGGGAUUGGAGACGUUGCGCCGCAAGGCACAUCGUCCUCGAGAACUUGAUCAAACUUGAUCAUUUAGAGGAAGUAAAAGUCGUAACA